rnacentral:rRNA from 1 species
GAUGAACGCUGGCGGCGUGCCUAAUACAUGCAAGUCGAGCGAACAGACGAGGAGCUUGCUCCUCGGACGUUAGCGGCGGGCGUGUGAGUAACACGUGUAUAACCUACCUAGAAGACUGGGAUAACUUCGGGAAACCGGACCUAAUACCGGAUAAUAUAUUGAACCGCAUGGUUCAAUAGUGAAAGACGGUUUUGCUGUCACUUAUAGAUGGAUCCGCGCCGCAUUAGCUAGUUGGUAAGGUAACGGCUUACCAAGGCAACGAUGCGUAGCCGACCUGAGAGGGUGAUCGGCCACACUGGAACUGAGACACGGUCCAGACUCCUACGGGAGGCAGCAGUAGGGAAUCUUCCGCAAUGGGCGAAAGCCUGACGGAGCAACGCCGCGUGAGUGAUGAAGGUCUUCGGAUCGUAAACCUCUGUUAUUAGGGAAGAAACAAUGUGUAAGUAACUAUGCACGUCUUGACGGUACCUACUCAGAAAGCACCGGCUAACUACGUG